rnacentral:rRNA from 1 species
GCAAGUCGAGGGGCAGCAUUCACUUCGGUGAGAUGGCGACCGGCGCACGGGUGCGUAACGCGUAUACAAUCUACCUUAUACAGAGGGAUAGCCCAUGGAAACGUGGAUUAAUACCUCAUGGUACUAUAAAACUGCAUAGUUUAAUAGUUAAAACUUCGGUGGUAUAAGAUGGGCAUGCGUCUGAUUAGGUAGUUGGUGAGGUAAUGGCUCACCAAGCCUGCGAUCAGUAGGGGUUCUGAGAGGAUUAUC